rnacentral:sRNA from 2 species
AGCAGGCGCGCAAUUACCCAAUCCCGACUCGGGGAGGUAGUGACAAUAAAUACUGAUACAGGGCCCUUUCGGGCCUUGUAAUUGGAAUGAGUACAAUUUAAAUCCCUUAACGAGGAACAAUUGGAGGGCAAGUCUGGUGCCAGCAGCCGCGGUAAUUCCAGCUCCAAUAGCGUAUAUUAAAGUUGUUGUGGUUAAAAAGCUCGUAGUUGAACCUUGGGCCUGGCUGGCCGGUCCGCCUCACCGCGUGCACUGGUCCGGCCGGGCCUUUCCCUCUGUGGAACCCCAUACCCUUCACUGGGCGUGGCGGGGAAACAGGACAUUUACUUUGAAAAAAUUAGAGUGCUCCAGGCAGGCCUAUGCUCGAAUACAUUAGCAUGGAAUAAUAAAAUAGGACGCGCGGUUCUAUUUUGUUGGUUUAUAGGACCGCCGUAAUGAUUAAUAGGGACAGUCGGGGGCAUCAGUAUUCAACUGUCAGAGGUGAAAUUCUUGGAUCAGUUGAAGACUAACUACUGCGAAAGCAUUUGCCAAGGAUGUUUUCAUUAAUCAGGAACGAAAGUUAGGGGAUCGAAGACGAUCAGAUACCGUCGUAGUCUUAACCAUAAACUAUGCCGACUAGGGAUCGGACGGUGUUAUUCAUGACCCGUUCGGCACCUUACGAGAAAUCAAAGUGCUUAGGCUCCAGGGGGAGUAUGGUCGCAAGGCUGAAACUUAAAGAAAUUGACGGAAGGGCACCACCAGGGGUGGAGCCUGCGGCUUAAUUUGACUCAACACGGGGAAACUCACCAGGUCCAGACACAAUAAGGUUGACAGAUUGAGAGCUCUUUCUUGAUUUUGUGGGUGG